rnacentral:rRNA from 1 species
UACGGAGGGUGCAAGCGUUAUCCGGAUUCAUUGGGUUUAAAGGGUGCGUAGGCGGGCUGGUAAGUCAGUGGUGAAAUCUUCAAGCUUAACUUGGAAACUGCCGUUGAUACUAUCAAUCUUGAAUGUUGAGGAGGUAAGCGGAAUAUGUCAUGUAGCGGUGAAAUGCUUAGAUAUGACAUAGAACACCGAUAGCGAAGGCAGCUUGCUACACAAAAAUUGACGCUGAGGCACGAAAGCGUGGGGAUCAAACAGG